rnacentral:sRNA from 1 species
AAUGGGGACCUGGAGGUCUCUCACUGUGCUUGGGUAUUACCUCCUUGAUGGCAAGGGAGACAGGAAGGGAGAUGGCCCUGGAAGGCAGGAGGAAGGAGUGGGGAGCUCAAGGAAAAGGCCAUUUACCCACUGGUACCUGGAUGGGCUAACACAGAUUGCCACCGCUAACACGCACCAGUGAUAGAACUGCCAGCCCCUGUUCUCUAGACCUGCACCAAGACACCACUUGGUGAUGGCAUGCACCCUGUCUGCAGGUUACCUGGGCUUGUAUGUGUUCUAUGUGGUCACUGUGAUUCUCUGCACCUGGAUCUACCGAUGGCAACGGAGAGGAUCUCUGUUCUGCCCCAUGCCAGUUACUCCAGAGAUCCUCUCAGACUCUGAGGAGGACCGGGUAUCUUCUAAUACCAACAGCUAUGACUACGGAGACCACGGCUCAGAUCCUGGUCCGGGCCCUCAAUCCCCUGGAUUACAUGAAGUGGAGAAGGAAAUCAGCAUACUGGAAAGCCCUCAAGGUGUUCAAGCUGCCUGUGGAGUUCCUGCUGCUCCUCACAGUCCCCGUCGUGGACCCGGACAAGGAUGACCGGAACUGGAAACGGCCCCUCAACUGUCUGCAUCUGGUUAUCAGCCCCCUGGUUGUGGUCCUGACCCUGCAGUCAGGGACCUAUGGUGUCUAUGAGAUAGGCGGCCUCAUUCCUAUCUGGGUCGUGGUGGUGAUCGCAGGCACAGCCUUGGCUUCAGUGACCUUUUUUGCCACAUCUGACAGCCAGCCCCCCAGGCUUCACUGGCUCUUUGCUUUCCUGGGCUUUCUGACCAGCGCCCUGUGGAUCAACGCGGCCGCCACAGAGGUGGUGAACAUCUUGCGGUCCCUGGGCGUGGUCUUCCGGCUGAGCAACACUGUGCUGGGGCUCACGCUGCUGGCCUGGGGGAACAGCAUUGGAGAUGCCUUCUCAGAUUUCACGCUGGCCCGCCAGGGCUACCCGCGGAUGGCGUUCUCUGCCUGCUUUGGCGGCAUCAUCUUCAACAUCCUCGUGGGCGUAGGGCUGGGCUGCCUGCUCCAGAUCUCCCGGAGCCACACAGAGGUGAAGCUGGAGCCAGACGGACUGCUGGUGUGGGUCCUGGCAGGUGCCCUGGGGCUCAGCCUCGUCUUCUCCCUGGUCUCAGUCCCAUUGCAGUGCUUCCAGCUCAGCAGAGUCUACGGCUUCUGCCUGCUCCUCUUCUACCUGAACUUCCUUGUCGUGGCCCUCCUCACUGAAUUUGGAGUGAUUCACCUGAAAAGCAUGUGACUGAAGCCGCUUAGUGCUGUGGCCUCACUGCAGGCAGGAGCCCCGCCCCUGCUGCCGGGGGAGGCCCAGGGACCGGAGCAUUUCUGCAAGGCCCUUGUGGGCACGAGAGUGCGGCCCUUGCUGCUGGAGAUCUGAGGUCACUGCUAUGAGCUGGGAGAACUGCUCUGUACCUCUUGCUGCCAGCACCCAACAGCCUUGCCGUGGGGACCUUGGAAACCGGGCUUUGCUCUGGACAAAGGGUUUCAGAGAGAAGCUAGAAGUCCCCCUUGAAUGACCCCCAGAGCCCCUCUGAGAAGGGCUGGAGUUUGGGGGAAGGGGACGGCUGGGUGUGUUCCAGGCCAUGCUGGAGGUACCCCCGAGGCACAGGCACUGCCCGUUCCCCUUGCCUGGGCUUCAGGCCUUCUGGCACCUUCUCAGGACACAAGUGGCUGCCCAACCCUGACUCAGAGAAUGAGGGUGGCUUGGACCCCUGGGAAUCAGGCUGCCGAGGGCUGAGCUCCAGAGCUGCACCAUCUGCCAGAAACAGAAUUCGAGACAUAUUUAAUUUUGAAUUUCUCCUUGCCAUGUUAAUAAAGCCAAAAGCAGCGGGUGCCAUUCGUGGCAAUACACUUCACCGAACCCACUUGCUCCCAAAACGACGCCAGCCCAAGGCACUGCUACGCCAGCAGCUGCCACAUGGCAUGGUGGCUCAGGCGUUCCCUCCAGGAUUCUGCCCCUGACUGUCCACAGACUCCUUUGUGCUGGAACCUGGGCUCCUCCAGCUGCCAAGCAGGAGUCAGUAGGACUGUGCCUGUGCCUCCCUCAGGGGGAGCCCUGGGCGGGGUUCCAAGGCCUGCGAGCUGGGAAAGGACAGAUGAGGGGACCUCGUGCCUUCUUGCUGUCAUGCAGUGACCCCGCCUUAUGUUACCGAAAUAAGCAACUCUUAGGUUUGCCUGACUGCCUUAUGCUGGUAAAGGGAUUCAACUGUCUCUUUUCCAAAUAAAAAAAAAAAAUUCAAAAUUUC